rnacentral:rRNA from 1 species
GACGAACGCUGGCGGCGUGCUUAACACAUGCAAGUCGAACGGAAAGGCCCUGCUUUUGUGGGGUGCUCGAGUGGCGAACGGGUGAGUAACACGUGAGUAACCUGCCCUUGACUUUGGGAUAACUUCAGGAAACUGGGGCUAAUACCGGAUAGGAGCUCCUGCUGCAUGGUGGGGGUUGGAAAGUUUCGGCGGUUGGGGAUGGACUCGCGGCUUAUCAGCUUGUUGGUGGGGUAGUGGCUUACCAAGGCUUUGACGGGUAGCCGGCCUGGGAGGGUGACCGGCCACAUUGGGCCUGAGAUACGGCCCAGACUCCUACGGGAGGCAGCAGUGGGGAAUAUUGCACAAUGGGCGGACGCCUGAUGCAGCAACGCCGCGUGCGGGAUGACGGCCUUCGGGUUGUAAACCGCUUUCGCCUGUGACGAAGCGUGAGUGACGGUAAUGGGUAAAGAAGCACCGGCUAACUACGUG